AACGAACGCUGGCGGCAUGCCUAACACAUGCAAGUCGAACGAGACCUUCGGGUCUAGUGGCGCACGGCUGCUUAACGCGUGGGAACCUGCCCUUAGGUUCGGAAUAACUCCCCGAAAGGGGUGCUAAUACCAGAUAAUGUCUUCGGACCAAAGAUGUAUCGCCUUUGGAUGGGCCCGCGUUGGAUUAGCUAGUUGGUAGGGUAAAAGCCUACCAAGGCGACGUUCCAUAGCUGGUCUGAGAGGAUGAUCAGCUACACUGGGACUGAGACACGGCCCAGACUCCGACGGGAGGCAGCAGUGGGGAAUAUUGGACGAUGGGCGAAAGCCUGAUCCAGCAAUGCCGCGUGAGUGAUGAAGGCCUUAGGGUUGUAAAGCUCUUUUACCCGGGAUGAUAAUGACAGUACCGGGAGAAUAAGCACCGGCUAACUCCGUG
rnacentral:rRNA from 1 species